rnacentral:rRNA from 1 species
AGCAGCCGCCGCGGUAAUACGAAGGGGGCUAGCGUUGUUCGGAUUUACUGGGCGUAAAGGGCGCGUAGGCGGGCUGAUAAGUCAGGGGUGAAAUCCCAAGGCUCAACCUUGGAACUGCCUUUGAUACUGUUUGUCUUGAGUUCGAGAGAGGUAAGUGGAACUGCGAGUGUAGAGGUGAAAUUCGUAGAUAUUCGCAAGAACACCAGUGGCGAAGGCGGCUCACUGGCCCGGUACUGACGCUGAGGCACGAAAGCGUGGGGAGCAAACAGGAUUAGAUACCCGGGUAGUCCCUGUCUCUUAUAC